UACGGAGGGAGCUAGCGUUGUUCGGAAUUACUGGGCGUAAAGCGUACGUAGGCGGCUUUUCAAGUCAGAGGUGAAAGCCCACGGCUCAACCGUGGAAUUGCCUUUGAGACUGUGAGGCUUGAAGAUGGGAGAGGUGAGUGGAAUUCCGAGUGUAGAGGUGAAAUUCGUAGAUAUUCGGAAGAACACCAGUGGCGAAGGCGGCUCACUGGACCAUUCUUGACGCUGAGGUACGAAAGCGUGGGGAGCAAACAGG
rnacentral:rRNA from 1 species